CUACAGAGGGUGCAAGCGUUAUUCGGAAUUACUGGGCGUAAAGCGCGCGUAGGCGGAUGAUUAAGUCAGUUGUGAAAGCCCUGGGCUCAACCUAGGAACUGCAUCUGAUACUGGUCGUCUAGAGUUUAAGAGAGGGAAGUGGAAUUCCAGGUGUAGCAGUGAAAUGCGUAGAUAUCUGGAGGAACAUCAGUGGCGAAGACGACUUCCUGGCUUAAAACUGACGCUGAGGUGCGAAAGCGUGGGUAGCGAACGGGAUUAGAAACCCUAGUAGUCC
rnacentral:rRNA from 1 species